CUGGAGAAAAUCUGGUCUCCUUAAAAAUAAUUUUUUUAAAAAAACAAAAAUCCUUUUUAAAAAUAAGACACUCUAAUUGUGCCACGGAAAUUCCACUGGCUAGUCUUUCACUUCCCCACAGGCAGCCAGACUUUUUCCCCUUCCCAGGAAGUCCCUUCCAAGGCUCUGAGUAUGCCAAGGAUCUACCAUUUUUGUGAUUGAUUCUCUCCUUUCUCCCCACUCAAGCACUUUGAUGCUGGGACAAAAGAAAUCCAUGCUUUUUCUUUCCAUGGCUAUGGGGCUUCUCGUCCUCCUCUCCCACUGGCAGACUGCUCUUCUGGUCUGUGGCUCCUUUCUGAGCUGUGUGUAACAAGGAAGUCUCACUGCAGACGUUAGCCCCCUGUGUUCCAACCUAGCUCCAUGAUAUUCUAUCCUUGCAUGGUUCUUUAUAAGCUCUCAGAGGCUAAGGCAGCAUUUCCCUGUGUGUGAACCACACACACUAGUUCUAUGACAUAUUAAUUGAUAGGUGCUAUAUGAAAGCAAAAAAAAAAGUACAGUCAUAGAAGUUUGGGAAAUGCUGGGUUAAAAUGAAGUUAGAGAUUACUUUGUACAGGACUUCUACAGCCUUUAGAACAAUACAUGGGGUACGAAUCUCUAAGAGGAGAGUAACCAACUUUUAUCAAGUAAUGCUUUCGGGGAAGCUAGGGUUCAAGGGUGAGGAAGGCACAGUGGACCUGAAAGCAUUUGUGAUCCAUACAAAAGCAACUAAAACAACUGCAUUCCUAAGGCUUCUACUUAGAAUUGUGUCUUCUACUUAGAACCCACAAAAAACCAAAAGGCAUAAAAGAGAAGCUAAGUUAUAAAGAUGGAAAAAACAUACCUGGUCAAAAAUCCCCAUGGCUAAAACAGGCAGUGAUGUGUAAACAAUGUUAAAAAGGGUGAUGAACCACUGGUCAUAAACAGUCUGAAAAGAAAUAUAACAUAUAAAUGAGAAAGACCAUCCAUAGUAGUGAGAAUAUUCACGUUUAAGUCGUGAAAAUAUUCACCUUUAGGUUAAAUAACCAGGUUUUCUGAGGUAAGUGGGAGUUGACUUUUGGAAUCAGACAAAUAUGAGUUCUCUCCUGGACCUGCCUCUUAUCAGCUCUGCUGCCUUAAUGGGAUACUAGAUCUCUCUAAAUAGCAAUUUCAUUAUCUCUAAAGUGGUGUAUACCCUUCCUGCAGCAUGGCAGUGAGGACAAUAAUACAUGCAGUACCCCUAACAUAGUGCGGGACACGUAUGAGCCCCCUGACCUUGUGGUGGGUUGCUAUUUCAUUCUCCAGGCUUUCAGUGGCUUGUAAUGAGUCCAAUUAUCUGACCUAAGUGGUAAACAAAGGAUUCACUAAAAUCUUCAGAGAUAAGUAUAGUAAUGAGCCUGUUAUUUCUAUCCUGUUUUAAAAUGGAGAGGUUUUUGCGGGGGAGUGGUUUAAAGUAAGAUGGGCAUGAAGCUACAUGCUCACUAUACUGGGCAUAAACAAGCAAAACAAUAAAAAUAUCCCCUCACACCUUUGUAGAGUAAUUACACAAGAAUUCCCUGCAUGGGCCUCACUAAAAGUCAAUGAGGCAUGUGGAGCAGGCAUAUAUCCCCAUUUUGCCAAUGAGUACACACAGAUGUGGAAACAGAACCUUUCAGUUACAGCGCUUAUUACGGACAAAAGCAAAAAUUAAAAUCCAGGUCUUCAGCUGCUAACCAAUGCCCCUUUUACCACUCCAUCAUUCAUUCACUUAUUCAUUCAUUCAAUAUUUACUGAUAAACUGCUAUGUGCUAAGCAUUAGGUUCUAGUCAAUGAUAAUUCAGCAUGAUCAAUCAAAUAAAAAUUCCUCACGAAAUGUACAUUCUAAUGCAAAGGGAAGGGAAUAAACAAGAUCAAAUUUACAGAGAGCAGGAGGACUGUGUGAGUAAAUUAGUUAGAAGGUAGUAAGUGCUAGAGAGGAAAGGGGAUAGGGAAUGUGGGAGGGCUGUAAUUGUAAUACAGGGACUGGAGAAAGUCUCACUGAGAAGUGAAUUUGAGAUAAGAUCUGAAGGAAAUGGGCCUAACAUGCAGCUUUCUGAAACAGCUGGAAAUGCUGGGACAUCCAGCAUUCCAUACUGCAAGUAGGCCCCAUGAAACAAUCCUAAGGCAAGAAAGCAUCCACUGUGCUCAGAGAACAGCAAGGUGGGCUGGUUGGGUAGAGCAGAGUGACCUGUAGGAAGAAUAAUGGAUGUCAGGAGGUAAGAAGAACAAUCCUAUGUAACUAAACAUGGCUUAUUACCUAAGAGAAAGUAGAAGACAUCAGAGGACUUUAAGCAAAAGAGCAACCUGGUCUUAUUUACAUUUUAACAGGAUCACUCUGGAUGCUAUGCCGAGAAGCAACUGAAGAGAGAGGUGGAAAUGGGAAAGCUUAACACUCAGAGUAACCGUUUCUAAUAACGAAUUUUAAGUUCUGUGCAUGAGCAGCUGACACAAAUCUUCAACCCGUUGAUGAUGGCAUCUGACAGUUUCAGCUAUUAAGAAGAGAGAAAGAAUCUGAGAAAUUAUGGCAUACUCAACUGUGGACAGCUGAGUCUGGCAUAGUGUGCCCUCAUCAUCACAAACAGGCUCGCAUUACAAGCUACACUUAUUCGACAACUAUCAGCAUUUGUCAACUGGCACCCAGAUUUGAAGCCUCAUUUCACAACUGGAGCAAGAGAGGACAGGAAGGAAAAAUCAGAAUAAGGUUUCAAUGAGUUUCUGCAAAUUCUCAGAAAUCAGUGUCACAAUAACAAAAAGAAAAAAAAAUAGCUGCUAUUUACUAAACAUCUACUCUGUGCCAUUUUAAGUGCUUUACAUAUAGCGUCUCAUUAAAUUUUAACAACCCCAUGAGGUAGGUACUGUUAACAGUUCUCAGUUUAUAAAUGGGAAAACUGAGGGCUAUCAAGGUUAGGAGAUGGCUCAAUGCCAUACCUUAAAUGCAAAGGUUUUCUCCAGGAUGUGCUUAUUUCACAUUGCAUGCCUGUAUCAAAAUAUCUCAUGUACCUAAUAAAUACAUACACCUACUAUGUACCCACAAUUUUUUAAUUAUAUUUUUAAAAACCCAAAGGGGAAAAAAAGGUUUUCCAAGUGUAGUUCAGAACAUUUUAGGGGAUCCAUAAUGUCAAAACUAUUUUCAGAAUAAUACAAAAAGUUAUGUAUUUACCCUUUCACCCCAUUCUCUCAUGAGUGUAUGAUAUGUGACAUCACAGCUGGCUGAAUGCAGGUGAUAUGAGAACCCAGGUGUUUUCUAUUAUGUUAACUAGUUUUACAAAAGUGUGAAACAAUGGCAUUCUUCCCAUUAACUUGUUUUUUUUUUCAGAAAAUAUAAGCAUUUUUCUUAAAAAUAUGUUACUUUUGUAAACGUGUCAUGGGUUCACCAUUUUUUAACAAAUUAAUAAAAGUGUUUAGAUUUUUU